rnacentral:sRNA from 1 species
ACACGCCAAAUCUCUGCGAAGAGAGCCGGGGAACCACUUUCCCCUGGGGUGAAUCGGUGCUGCGGCACCGUAGGGCAAUCCUGGCCCGAACCCGUCAGCUCACCCGGUCGGCGAC